rnacentral:rRNA from 1 species
GAUGAACGCUGGCGGCGUGCCUAAUACAUGCAAGUCGAGCGAACAGACGAGGAGCUUGCUCCUCUGACGUUAGCGGCGGACGGGUGAGUAACACGUGGAUAACCUACCUAUAAGACUGGGAUAACUUCGGGAAACCGGAGCUAAUACCGGAUAAUAUAUUGAACCGCAUGGUUCAAUAGUGAAAGACGGUUUUGCUGUCACUUAUAGAUGGAUCCGCGCCGCAUUAGCUAGUUGGUAAGGUAACGGCUUACCAAGGCAACGAUGCGUAGCCGACCUGAGAGGGUGAUCGGCCACACUGGAACUGAGACACGGUCCAGACUCCUACGGGAGGCAGCAGUAGGGAAUCUUCCGCAAUGGGCGAAAGCUUGACGGAGCAACGCCGCGUGAGUGAUGAAGGUCUUCGGAUCGUAAAACUCUGUUAUUAGGGAAGAACAAAUGUGUAAGUAACUAUGCAUGUCUUGACGGUACCUAAGCAGAAAGCCACGGCUAACUACGU